rnacentral:tRNA from 1 species
AUAAUUUUAAGUUAAUUUUUAAACUUUAAACUUUCAAAGUUUAAAAUAUAUGUUAUAUAAAUUAUU